rnacentral:rRNA from 1 species
GUAGUCAAAAUAAUAAUUCUUUAGGUAUGAUCCAGAGUACCACGGGACACGUGAAACCCUGUGGGAAGCAGGAGGGACCACCCUCCAAGGCUAAAUACUACCUAGUGACCGAUAGCGUAUAGUACCGGGAGGGAAAGGUGAAAAGAACCCCGGGAGGGGAGUGAAAUAGAACCUGAAACCCUGCACUUACAAGCUGUGGAAGCACAUUUCUUGUGUGACCGCGUACUUUUUGUAGAACGGGCCAACGAGUUACGUUAAGUACAAAGGUUAAGCACUUGAGGUACGGAGCGGUAGCGAAAGCGAGUUUUAAC